rnacentral:tRNA from 1 species
GGGCUUGUAGUCUAGUGGCUAUGACGUCGCCUCGACACGGCGGAGGUCGCAGGUUCAAAUCCUGCCAGGCCCA